UACGAAGGGUGCAAGCGUUACUCGGAAUUACUGGGCGUAAAGCGUGCGCAGGCGGUUUUGUAAGUCAGAUGUGAAAUCCCCGGGCUUAACCUGGGAACUGCGUUUGAAACUACAAGGCUAGAGUGUGGCAGAGGGGGGUGGAAUUCCACGUGUAGCAGUGAAAUGCGUAGAGAUGUGGAGGAACACCGAUGGCGAAGGCAGCCCCUGGGUUAACACUGACGCUCAGGCACGAAAGCGUGGGAGCAAACAGG
rnacentral:rRNA from 1 species